rnacentral:rRNA from 1 species
GUGGGGAAUAUUUGACAAUGGGCGCAAGCCUGAUCCAGCCAUGCCGCGUGAGUGAUGAAUCCCCUAGGGAUGUAAAGCUCUUUCACCGGGGACGAUAAUGACGGUACCCGGAGCAGAAGUCCCGGCUAACUUCGUGCCAGCAGCCGCGGUAAUACGAAGGGGGCUAGCGUUGCUCGGAAUUACUGGGCGUAAAGGGAGCGUAGGCGGAUAGUUUAGUCAGAGGUGAAAGACCAGGGCUCAACCUUGGAAUUGCCUUUGAUACUGGCUAUCUUGAGUAUGGAAGAGGUAUGUGGAACGCAGAGUGUAGAGGUGAAAGUCGUAGAUAUUCGGAAGAACACCAGUGGCGAAAGCAACAUACUGGUCCAUUAAUGACGCUGAGGCUCAAAAGCGUGGGGAGCAAACAGGAUUAGAAACCCCAGUAGUCC